rnacentral:lncRNA from 1 species
GGUGCAUUUCCUUCAAAUGAACAUUCCAGUUUACUUACUGAAUUGCUUUCUUUGUGAUCAGAAAUAACUAUUUCCAAUGGUAUUGAGCGAAGCAAGAACCAGACUCAUACACUUUUUGUGUUAAGAGGCGCAAUGGCAUAAAAAGAGAAUCAGGAACUUCAGAAGUAACAGGAACAGGCAUGAGCAUUCUCAUUUGUAGACGACGAGAAGAGGACCUGGAGUUUAAGCCACUUUCAAGACCACGCUACUCCUUAGGGGCAGAACCAGGAAUUCAAGCCAGAUCAUCUCAUUCCCAGAUAACAGAGAAUUCUCCACUGCCCAGAGACCUGCAUGAAAAGAAGUUCUUCCGGUUGAAGGGAAAUGCUACCAGACGUAAAGUCAAAUCUACGUAAAGAAAUGACGUACACCAAAAAUGGUGUGCAGGGACCUGGAUAUACUCAAAUGUUGGGAUUUUGCCCAGAGAUGGAGAAGGAGAGAGAAAUUAUCAAGAGAAAGGCAGAAGAGAUCACAAGGAUAGACAACAGAAUCUAAAUGGAUGAUCCGUGGAUUCAAACCAGGCAAGACAAGUAGACUCUGUCCAGAGACUAAGAGCAGUUUUCAAAUCCCAGAGGAUGAACAGCAAGGCAAGAACCCAUAAAGACCUCCUUGGAGCUGAAGGAUGAACACGGCCAUUGUAAGCUAGAUAAUAAAAC